rnacentral:rRNA from 1 species
UACGGAGGGUGCAAGCGUUAUCCGGAUUCACUGGGUUUAAAGGGUGCGUAGGAGGGCAGGUAAGUCAGUGGUGAAAUCUCCAAGCUUAACUUGGAAACUGCCGUUGAUACUAUCUGUCUUGAAUAUUGUGGAGGUGAGCGGAAUAUGUCAUGUAGCGGUGAAAUGCGCAGAUAUCAGGAAGAACACCCGUGGCGAAGGCGGCUCUCUGGGACGGUACUGACGCUGAGACGCGAAAGCGUGGGGAGCGAACAGG